CAAUUAAUAUUCUCUUUGAAAUUUGUCUGGAGUCCAGCAGUUGAUGUAAUGGCUAUGUUGCUGGACUCCCAC
rnacentral:snRNA from 1 species